UAGGGAAUCUUCGGCAAUGGACGAAAGUCUGACCGAGCAACGCCGCGUGAGUGAAGAAGGUUUUUCGGAUCGUAAAACUCUGUUGGUAGAGAAGAACGUUGGUGAGAGUGGAAAGCUCAUCAAGUGACGGUAACUACCCAGAAAGGGACGGCUAACUACGUGCCAC
rnacentral:rRNA from 1 species